UAGGGAAUCUUCCGCAAUGGACGCAAGUCUGACGGAGCAACGCCGCGUGAGUGAAGAAGGAUUUCGGUUCGUAAAACUCUGUUGUUAGAGAAGAACAGCGCAUAGAGUAACUGUUAUGCGUGUGACGGUAUCUAACCAGAAAGCCACGGCUAACUACGUGCCAGCAGCCGCGGUAAUACGUAGGUGGCAAGCGUUGUCCGGAUUUAUUGGGCGUAAAGCGAGCGCAGGCGGUCAAUUAAGUCUGAUGUGAAAGCCCCCGGCUCAACCGGGGAGGGUCAUUGGAAACUGGUUGACUUGAGUGCAGAAGAGGAGAGUGGAAUUCCAUGUGUAGCGGUGAAAUGCGUAGAUAUAUGGAGGAACACAAGUGGCGAAGGCGACUCUCUGGUCUGUAACUGACGCUGAGGCUCGAAAGCGUGGGUAGCAAACAGG
rnacentral:rRNA from 1 species